UACGGGGGGAGCAAGCGUUGUUCGGAUUUACUGGGCGUAAAGGGCGCGUAGGCGGCGCAACAAGUCACUUGUGAAAUCUCCGGGCUUAACCCGGAGCGGCCAAGUGAUACUGUCGUGCUAGAGUGCGGAAGGGGCUACUGGAAUUCUCGGUGUAGCGGUGAAAUGCGCAGAUAUCGAGAGGAACACCUGCGGCGAAGGCGGGUAGCUGGGCCGACACUGACGCUGAGGCGCGAAAGCCAGGGGAGCGAACGGG
rnacentral:rRNA from 1 species